UCCAUUCCAUUCUUCCAUCCCAUUAUUCCAUCCCAUUAUUCCAUCCCAUUAUCCCAUCCCACCCCAAAACCUGCCUGACAAAAACCACAGCACUCUCCACAUCCAUUUUUCAAAUCCCUGCACCAUUCUUAUCACAUUGAGACCCACAUUGAUAUGGUCAGGGCUAAAUUACUUGGUUUUAGCUGGAAACUGUAUUUUUAUUUGAAACAGUCUGAAAUAUUCCUUGCCAUAAAGGAAGUGAACUCACGCAAGAUUGUAAGCCAAAUGAAAUGAAGUCUGGGGAGGAUCUCUUUGAAGAAAUAUACACUAAUUGGGCAGAAAAAAUACUGUUCCUGGUCCCAGUGACUAGAAAUCUGAAAAAUUUAUCAUGUAGAGAACUCCAGCUUCUUUCAAAAACGAAAAAGAUGUAUGGAGGGACAUCUCUGCCUGUUUUGUGAAGAGCAUGGCACGUGAGAAAACAGAAGGAAGAAAAACUGUUCUGCUGUAGGAAAUAUGUACAUGUAAAGGAGCCCAGGACAUGAGAGAGAUGGCAACUCCCACCAUGGAUUUUCACACACAAAGGAAGGAAAAAUUCAUUACAAGCCCAAACCUGCAGGUAGCAGAAUCAAAGUUGCCACUUUGAGACGUUUUAGUGAUGCCUUCUGUCACAGGUGAGUGAGGAACUGAGACACAAACAGAAGGUGUUUAAGGGAGUCCAGACUGAAAACUGUGUGGACAGAUCAGGUGAGGAAAACUUCCUGCUUGAGGUAUGUUUUGUGUAGGGAAUACUGGGGUUUGUUGAUUGAAUUUGUGCCACCAGCAGAGGUGAAGUAACUUAUUUUUUUUUCUUAUGCAAAUGCUGCUGUGAGUGAAAUUUGACAGAGUAACAAUGCUGCAGCCCUCAGAAAUUGCUGCUUACUUGGAAUAAAUCAGUAACUGAAUUAAACCAGUCUGCAAGUAGUUUCUAAGUCAAUUACUUGCACAAUUUAUGUGCCUGCAAACUGCAAAAAGUUCUUAUUUUCACCUUGAUUCUGUUUGCAGUUACUGCUGCAGGCCUUUUGCUUUGUUAUAGGUGAGGCAUUUUUAUAUUCCUGUAAUACAACCAGAGUCAAGCUGUGGUUUUGUUAUUUUUUUACAGAAGAAGGGGAAAAAGAAAAAGAGCUAAUUGAGUAUGCAAUAUUCUGUAUGAAACUGGUAUCUCAAACACAGGGAUUUGAAAUACAGUUGGGGAACAAAAAGUUUCUUGUGUAAGGGGAUAAGUGUGCAUAAUGGGGUGGAAAUAAGAAAUGGAGGGUUUGGGAUGUUUGUCAGGGAAAAAACAGCUUCCUAAUGAGGUAGAAUAGGCUGAAAAUAAUCAUUCACAGGAGGUAUUGCUCAAGACAAUUUAAGCUGAUGGGACAAAAAAGCCAAGAAACAACAGAGAGAACUCAAGUGAUAUUUUCUGUCUCUUUACAUAAAUCAUUGGAGGGAAAGGAAGGAAAGGAGGGAAAUAAGGAGUGAGAAUUUUUGAAUGGAGACACCAUGACCAGUAUUUAUUUGUGCCUUCAAAGAGACCAAGAUACACCUACAUAAAAAAAAAAUAAAUUGCAUUUUGGCAUCACCCUCAGCAGUGCAGCAGGGGCAGAGUGGGGGAUGCUCUCACCCUUGGGCACCCCAGGUUUUGGUGCAGGUUCCCAACAGGGGAAUCUCCUGGUGAACAUUAAAUCCAGGUCCUGCAGCUCCAGGUGGGUGACUGCCCUCUGAUUUAGAGCUGUCACUUCAGGCUCAGGCAUGCCAUGUGUUUAGGAGGAAUCAAAAUAAACUUAGCAGCUGGACAAACAACUGAGUUAGCUGAAGAAGAAUUUGAUAAAAUAUUGAGUUUAUCCAUAGCAAGAAAGAAAACAAAGCCAUUAGCAUGGAAAAUUAUAAAAUAGACAUGUAGGGAACAUUUGCAGGUAGAGGAUAUGUGCCAUAGUGAGCAGCAUGCAGGCCUAAAUAAUUUGUUGCAAACUCUUGGCAAUUAAUUAUUGAUGCUAAUUGCUUAGUACCAAUAAAAUACCAUGAGCUAGUGCUUUCUCCAAUUAAUUUAAUGAGCUGCUUUGAUGUAACUAGUGACUUAAGAUCACGCUUUGUUAAAGGUAUAAAAACUGGAGGACACCUUGUAAUAAAGAAGAAGCUGCUGUGUCUCUGCACAAGUGUGUGUGUGUGUUGUGUCCAUCUCAGCAGGAGCAGCCAGACCUGAGUGCAGAGGGGAUGAGAGGAGGGGAAGCUGCAGCUGAGCCCAGAUCUGGAUUCAGUCUAGUCCAGAACAGAAUGACCAGGUUGGAAGAGAACUCAAAGAUCAUGGAGUCCGGCCCAGCCCCACCACCUGAACUCAACCCUGGCACCCAGUGCCACAUCCAGGCUUUGUUAAACACACCCAGGGAUGGUGACUGCACCACCUCCCCAGGCAGCCAUUCCAGAACUUUAUCACCUUUCUGUAUAAAACUUCUCCUAAUAUCCAGCCUGUAUUUCCCUUGGUGUUCUCUGGUUCUGUCGGUGCUGCCUGGAGAAAGAGCCCCACCCAGCUGAGCACAGCCACCUUUCAGGAGCUCUAGUGAAGGAUAAGGUCACCUCCUGUCGAGUUUUAUCUUCUUUUUCUGCCUUGGUCAGGGUUGGGAUUAAAUGCACAGAGACAAUAUUUGGUGUUCAGACCAGGUGUUUAUUAUUUCUUAUCUACAUUACAGUCUUACAAAUCGUGAGUUCUACAGCACUUCACUCCAACAAACUAAAAAUGGAGCCCUCUCUCUCUCUCUACAAGGCCUUUGAAGGAUAAAGUGCCCAAUUAAGAAAUUAUACUAAAUUAUUUUCACUUUUAACCUAAUAACCAACCACCCACGGCCCACAAUGGGGACUUUUUAUCCAAUUACACAAAACCAACCAAACCCAUGGAGAAGAAGGAAGUGAAGAAGAUGGUGAAGAAGAAGGUGAAGAAGAAGGACCAGCCUUUGCCUUAAAACCUCCUUCUCUCUUUAUGUAUAAUACUAUAUUCUAAACCCUUAAACUCUAAUUUUCCCACCCUGUGAGAUCACACACUUCUAUCCAAACUCCACACCCACAAUCCCAGCUCUAUCAUUCCAUUUUGGAACCCUUCUCCACAGCCUCAGGUCAAUGCAGAGUUCUCCUGGGGGUCAGUGCCUGCAGCACAGAAAUCUGAAAUUCUCAGCACCCAGGGUUCCAAAAACCUCUGAAUUUCCUUCUCCUGUCUGCUCAGGGGCAGGACUCAGUGCAGGCUGAGGACACACAGCGAGCUUGGCCAGGUUUGGGAGGCUUCUCUUGGCUGGGUGCUCUUACAUUCAUCAGUGAAUGGGAAAUGAGGAAGAGCUGUCCCACUGCCUGGGCUCUGAGAGCUGUCCUCACUGAGCAAACUCACAGGGUUUUGGGUUUCAGAGGGAGUUUAUCUGAAAGUUUGAUUGAUUGUGUGAAAUGACCCGUGAAAUCCCUGCUGAACUUUCCCUUUUCCUCAGGCCAGAAAGGAAGUGAAGCUUCUGCUGUGCCUUUUUAGGUAUUAACGUGCAACUUACCUGUAUUUCCUGACUGACACACCUGCAUCAACUCCAGCACUUCUCCUCUCUUGGUCUAGAAGUCCCCGUGGAUGUCAGACACUGAGUCCAAGAGGAUCUGGCCACGUUGCAUCCUCCUCCCUUCACAGAUUUGAAACAAUUUUGUGAAAUCAAGCAACAGACACAAAUCUCUCCCACAGGAUCCUUGAUUAGGCUUUAAUGGGUCACAUUCCACUUCCCCACAAAGCCUGAAACCAUCAUUUUGCCUCUCAUAUUUGGGAGAGAUGGGAUUUGUGCAGAUGCAGCCAGACACAAUGUGCUGGGAAGCUGAGUGCCCAAAGCUCACAAUGGGUCUGCUGGAACAAAGGAGGAGAGGAGCUGAAGCACUGGAGACUUCCAGAGCUGCACAGCUCCUUCCAUCCCUGCCCAGGAAUUUCAGCGUGGAAGUGCCAGGGGUGAGCAAGGUGCAGGUGCUGAGCUCUGCUCUGUUGGGUGCUUUGUGCUUCAGGCACUGAAAUGUGAGAAUAGAAAAGGAGAUAAUUACAAAACAACAAAAACCUAAACAAAACAAACAAACAAAAAAACCCCAAACCAAAUAAAAAAACUUAUAAUUUCCAAUGACACAUAUGGAAGAGACUAGAGUCUUGUCAUUCUCAUCACGUUCUUCAAUAAAAUGUAAUUUCCUCUUAUGAAUUUAAUACUCAGUGAAAACUAUUCUGAAGAGCUGGCAAGAAGUGUCCUAUCACAAAGUUUUAGAAGAGAUAUUAAUAAUUUUAUUACAGUCCAUUUUCAAUGUGCAUUUCAGUGUCAGUGAUUAGAAAGGAACACGUUUAUUGCUACCUGAUGACUUUUGGGCGCACAUAUGAAUUUCCAUUUUGGGUGUUUGCCUCUUUAUUUGAACUGGGGGGGGGGGAAAGUUUUCAAAAUUCUGCCUCCCUCUUUAUCACAUAUUUUUU